rnacentral:rRNA from 1 species
AGAGUUUGAUCAUGGCUCAGAUUGAACGCUGGCGGCAGGCCUAACACAUGCAAGUCGAACGGUAACAGGAAGCAGCUUGCUGCUUUGCUGACGAGUGGCGGACGGGUGAGUAAUGUCUGGGAAACUGCCUGAUGGAGGGGGAUAACUACUGGAAACGGUAGCUAAUACCGCAUAACGUCGCAAGACCAAAGAGGGGGACCUUCGGGCCUCUUGCCAUCGGAUGUGCCCAGAUGGGAUUAGCUUGUAGGUGGGGUAACGGCUCACCAAGGCGACGAUCCCUAGCUGGUCUGAGAGGAUGACCAGCCACACUGGAACUGAGACACGGUCCAGACUCCUACGGGAGGCAGCAGUGGGGAAUAUUGCACAAUGGGCGCAAGCCUGAUGCAGCCAUGCCGCGUGUAUGAAGAAGGCCUUCGGGUUGUAAAGUACUUUCAGCGGGGAGGAAGGGAGUAAAGUUAAUACCUUUGCUCAUUGACGUUACCCGCAGAAGAAGCACCGGCUAACUCCGUGCCAGCAGCCGCGGUAAUACGGAGGGUGCAAGCGUUAAUCGGAAUUACUGGGCGUAAAGCGCACGCAGGCGGUUUGUUAAGUCAGAUGUGAAAUCCCCGGGCUCAACCUGGGAACUGCAUCUGAUACUGGCAAGCUUGAGUCUCGUAGAGGGGGGUAGAAUUCCAGGUGUAGCGGUGAAAUGCGUAGAGAUCUGGAGGAAUACCGGUGGCGAAGGCGGCCCCCUGGACGAAGACUGACGCUCAGGUGCGAAAGCGUGGGGAGCAAACAGGAUUAGAUACCCUGGUAGUCCACGCCGUAAACGAUGUCGACUUGGAUGUUGUGCCCUUGAGGCGUGGCUUCCGGAGCUAACGCGUUAAGUCGACCGCCUGGGGAGUACGGCCGCAAGGUUAAAACUCAAAUGAAUUGACGGGGGCCCGCACAAGCGGUGGAGCAUGUGGUUUAAUUCGAUGCAACGCGAAGAACCUUACCUGGUCUUGACAUCCACAGAACUUUCCAGAGAUGGAUUGGUGCCUUCGGGAACUGUGAGACAGGUGCUGCAUGGCUGUCGUCAGCUCGUGUUGUGAAAUGUUGGGUUAAGUCCCGCAACGAGCGCAACCCUUAUCCUUUGUUGCCAGCGGUCCGGCCGGGAACUCAAAGGAGACUGCCAGUGAUAAACUGGAGGAAGGUGGGGAUGACGUCAAGUCAUCAUGGCCCUUACGACCAGGGCUACACACGUGCUACAAUGGCGCAUACAAAGAGAAGCGACCUCGCGAGAGCAAGCGGACCUCAUAAAGUGCGUCGUAGUCCGGAUUGGAGUCUGCAACUCGACUCCAUGAAGUCGGAAUCGCUAGUAAUCGUGGAUCAGAAUGCCACGGUGAAUACGUUCCCGGGCCUUGUACACACCGCCCGUCACACCAUGGGAGUGGGUUGCAAAAGAAGUAGGUAGCUUAACCUUCGGGAGGGCGCUUACCACUUUGUGAUUCAUGACUGGGGUGAAGUCGUAACAAGGUAACCGUAGGGGAACCUGCGGUUGGAUCACCU